ACUCUGGCUGCUAGUCAGUCAGGCUGCAAGAUUCUCCGGACCACCAUGGCCUGGCUCACUUGCUUCUCCCGCCGACUCCUUACACCCUCUGCAGGACCCAUUCACCACCGGGGAUGGCUCCCGGCAACUGGCACCUGGAACGUGGACUUACAGAGAAAAUCCUCCCACUCCAGUACCACGGAGUCAGUUCAGAACAGUGAGAAAAUCCUCAAGGAUGUGAUUUUUCAACUAAAAUACUGUCUAGAGCUCCAGCCUUCUAACUAGCUUCCCCCCCAUGGAGCUUCUGGACUAAGCAAAAGACGGCUGACAGACUCAUGGAAGAACCGCAAAUGUGAUGACCGUACGUGAAGGGGAUGCGUGGGCAGCAGCUUGGGAAGCUCUGGAAUAAACACGUCCACCAAGAAUUUGCCCUGGAGAAAAACUCAAACUAGACAGGGAAGGGAGGAGCGUAUGGAAGGCCCAGACCCCAGAGACAGAACAGGGGCAAAGGUUAAAGAAUACUGCGGGUCUGGGGGAGGGGGAGUACAGGCCACCUCUGGAGCUGCCCUUGAUCCCUUGGUUCCCCGUGAUCUUUAACACUGGGGUCUUGGGGCUUUAUCCCAGGAACAAUGGAAGCUUAUGAAGAGCUUCAGGCACAAAAAGACUAACAGGUAUUUAAAAGUCUCAGGUAAGGCUUGAGAUUUUGUGAUUAUUAGAUCAAAUAGGAUCAUGCUUUUAUAACACCAAACUUUAUAACAUCAUGUUUAAAGAGCAUCUCUCUGGAAUUUUUACUUUGGGUGAUACAUUUUUUUCAAUCUAUUUACCCAUUUUUAACACACACACACACACACACACAUUUUCAAGACAGCUGAUGUACAAACUGGCAUUGUUGUAAGACAGUCACUAAGCUUCCUCAUUGAAUGUACCAAGAAACCAGCCAUGCACCUUCACACAUGACCCAAGGGCUGUAGCCUUAUCUUAAGACAACACUAGGAUUUGGGUAAAUCUGAAGCACAACCCCAAUAAACAGAGAUUUCAACAAAAAAGACUUGGAAAGCAUAGACUUAAAAUGUUACAGGCAAAUGCAAGUCACUUACCUAUGGUUGUGAAUUUGAAGAAGCCAGGAGAAGCAAGAGACUCCACUGUGGAAAGUCAGGGUUGUACACCCCUUUCCAAGUUCAGCUUACAUCGUAAUGAAGCAUUGAACAGAAAUCAGGCCUUUUCCAGGACACUAUUUGCUUAUAGGUCAAUGCCCUAAAGUCCAGAUCUAGCACAGUUCAGCACCAUGAGAGGAAAGGUCAACCAUACUCAGAGCAGUAACCCCCAAACCCAGAGUGCACUAGGAACCUUCCGAGGCUAUCAACAAGCUCUAGAAAGAGCUAUUUGCCUUAGAAUGAGGCCUAAUGGUAGAGAGCCUGCAAGAGGCCUGACUCUUCUUUUGUAAGCCCUUGAUUUUAAAAAUUUACUUUAAAAAUCUAACAAGACAAAAAUACUGCUAGUCUUCUUGCCUCGAUUUGAAGUGGCCCUUGUGACAUCCUGGGGUUGUGGGUCCUUGGUGAUCUGGAACCAGCCCACCUGGCUUUGUGGAGAAUUGAUAUCAUGCAAUUGUCUUCUUGCUCAGAGGUCUGAGCACACAGGUGACCCUUGAACCCUGGCCUGAUUGGUUACUGACAGUAACCACAAGCUCUACCCACCAGCCACAGUAGAAAUGCGUGACUUUAAAAACACAUUUCCAUUAACAAAGACUCAAGGCAAAUAAAUGCUUAGAGCUACCCAGGUCUCCUUUUCUGUCUUCUUACUAUUAACUCCAUCUAUUUCUAAAAACAAAAAAGAAAAAAGUGUAGUCUUUUUUUUUUUUUACUAUUUUUCUUCUUUAUUAAUUUGAAUUACAUUUUUUAGAAGUAAUACAGUCUUAUGAUUCAAAAUGCUAUUUAUUUUUUAUCUUUCUCCUUGCAAAGGGUUAGUAGUAAGAUUGUGAAUGUGGGGUCACAACGUGUACCCCAAGUCAGGGCUGGCCACCUGUCAUUUAUAAGUCAAUAAAAACAUGCAAAUUAAUAAUGGAAAGCAGAAAAAGGAGAUUUUAUUCAGUGAACACUCAGUCCCUGGGCUCUUGAAGUAAGAUCAAAGUUUAAAUAGAGCACCAAUGAAAUGCACAUCUAAGCAGCUCCAGUAAAGGUGUGGUCCUGCCGCCCCCCACCACCACCACUGACUGUGCUUCAGUCUUGCUCCUGUAAGGUAGUCUGACUAGUUGUUAGAACUGUUUGAAGCCUCAAGAGACAACCCCAAGCCCGACCCUGCUGGUAUCUCUUCCUUCUCCCAGUGGGAGAUUCUCAAGGAAAUUUCCAUUUCUUUGGGGUGCACUGCUCCUGUAGUCUGAUGGUCAGAUUGAGAGACACAAAGUGGCUCUUUAGAAGGUUUUCAUUUCUUCCAAGCCAGACCAUGAGAAAGACCUUCCUAAAGCAUGCCCACCAUGCCAGCAGAUGGCUAUUGAGCAAAAAGCCUGGAUGUUGCAAUACAGUGGCAUGCAUGUUUACCUAAGGGGGUGAAGACAGGCCAAGAAUGACUUUCAGAGGCAGGGAGAUGAAUUGCAGUCUGAGAAUGAAAUAUCAGCCCAGCGGCACAGAAUAACAGGGAAUGGCCACCUGUGAACUCUUUUGCUUCAUUAUUAUCACCCUGCAGAUCAAUAUGAGUUGUAAAAAUUCAGAACUCAUCAUCUUGUUAUGCCCAGGUUGUGGAGACCCCCAAAAGACCAUCACAUAGACCGAAUCCCAUAUGUAAAAGCAAAGAGCCUUUAUUUUCAAGCUCGGAGCUUGGACUCUCUGCUGAUGAAGUGGUAAGAGCAGAGAGCCCCAAGCCCAGGCAGGGUGGACAUUUUAUCAUAGCAGAGGUUAGGGUGAGGGGGUUUCUAGGGUGCAGGACCCUGAUUGGCUGACAUUUGUCUAGGGGUAUAGGGAAUGUUUGUAAUGGCAGGUAUUUCCCCUUAGAUGCAGGCCCUCCCUGGGUGGUCAGCUCAUGGCUCUUUCUGGAUCCUGGUGUUACCCACCAGUUAGCCUAUUACAGAAGCUGUGUCUGGGCCUCUAAGCCUGUCGUGGCAGUUGUGUGGUCAAGCUAUUUUGGGCUCCCCCACAUUCUCUCCUUCACAAGUGCCAAUGACAGGACUCAAUCACGAGUCCUAUCUACCCAGGGGUUCAAGGGUAUUGGGACCUAAGAACCACAGAUUUUUCUAGGUCAGGGACAUCUGUGUCUAUUGCUAUUCUUAAGGCCCUGUAGCACUGAUCUUUGAAUACAACUAGAUUAUAAUCUUGAAUAAUAUGUUUAAGGCCAUAUAUUACCUCUUUGGUUCUUCACAAAGAGAAUCAAGUAUCUUAUCCAGUUGCAGAGCCAUUUUAGUUAAUAAAUUUAUCAACUGACAACUCUGAACUUGUUUUCCUAGUCUGUCAAUGGGCAUUAUAGUUAACCGUUUUGUCCCCUAUGCCAUGGAGUUUCCUUUUUGACCCAGCAUUUCAACCUAUUUUUGGCAGAGGAUGUGGGACAACAUUCUCUUGUGAAAAUGCUUUGAGCUGACUUUGGGGCAUUGUUGUCAGGGUUCCAAAAAAUGCUGAAAAGCUACUCAAAGGCUGGGCAAUGGGGCAUCUGUCAGAAGCAUGUGGCUAUCUGUUCCAGCUGUAGAGAUGGGGAACAAUCAUGUUGGCUGGGCUGGUCCACAUCAGCUUUUAGUGAAUCCCGAGCUUCGAGUUGUUUGGAGCAGUGUAGUCAGCAGCUGAAGCUUCGAGUUGACUGUCAACCAAGUGGAAACCUGGUGAGACAAUUUUAAAUUAGGAACAGAAGUCAAAAUUUAUAAAUUUAUUUGGAACUUUUAGGCCCAUAGUCUUUAGUAAUUGGGAAGGGCAGGAGUCCCAAGACCAGGAGAGAGAAAAAAUAUUAUCCGUAGGAAUAGACAAGUAGUCAAAAUUUAAGCUGUACUUUUCUGGAGUCCUUCUAACCUCUGUGAAGUGGACCCAAGUUUUAUGACUCUUUUAAUCCUCUGAGGCCUGUAUAAAUUAUCUUACAAAAUGACAUAAAAGUUUUAGAUAUAUUAGGAUUACCAAUCUGUACUGAAAACCAUAUCAUAGACAAAGCAAGUCAUAGGUAUCUGUAAAACAGCAGAAGUAAACUCAUACCUUUUAUGAGUCCUAGCAAAAAAUACAGAUUUAGGUUAAAAGCACAUGGAUUUUACUUCUGUCCAGAGAGCCAGGUAUAAAUUGGACAGAGUUUUUUUUUUGGCCUGAUGAAAAGCACUUUUAAGUUUAUAUUUAGAUGACAACUAAAAUAAAUCUAAAAUGUUGAGCUUGUGUCUGAACAGUAAGUAGUCACUGCUCUACCAGCUUAUCAGAACUCUAUUAAAUGUUAAUUAAGCUCUAAACUUUUAUAUCAUAGAAGGGGAAAGCAAUCUGAAACAUUUUUCAUAAUUUAAAUCGUUUAUUUAUAUCUUUAUAAUUUGCAUUUAUAUCUUAAGUCAUUUUUUGAGAUCCUCAAAGUUUAUAAGCUUUUAUAUCUUCAGAACUUUAUAUAUCUUAAAACAUUCUUAGACCCUCAAAACUUGUAUAGACGUUCAUAUCCUUAUACCUUUUUUUCAGAUCCAUAUUUAAACCUUUAUGACUUAUUUAAACUUUCAUAUCUUAGAACACUUUCUUAAAAAUGAGCUAACAAGCUGGCUAUAGCCUUGUGGAAGGAUCUGGUUAUCUGAUGCUACCAAGCUGACAAAGUUAUAGCUAGCCUAGCUGUCAGUACUAUCAGAGAUCUGAGAAGGAUAAAUUAUACCUGAGUGCAGACCAAGCAGCUUCCGUUCUAUAAAUGACAGCGACUAGUCCAUACCCAGGUUUCCAUAGCAUUAGAGGCACAAGUAUCAGAACAACAUCAAUCUUCUUUGGCCAUCAGGCCCAUAAGGAGAAAGUUUUUCCUAUAAAAGAGGGACACGAGGAAGACUGAUCUUAGUUUGUCUAGGCAAAAGAAAUGCAAUCGAUUCUCCAGUGUCCUGCUGCUUGUCCACAGACUUCGUCAGGUCCUGACAGCAGGUGUUGUAUCAGGGCAUCUCACUCUGUGGUCAGGAUUGCCAUAAUCCAGCUGGAGACAUUGUGGUGCCCCGUAAUCUUCUUUGCAGACCUUGGAUCACUGCUAAGAUCUGGGAGUCUGUCUGAUAUAAUAAGCUUUUAGAUCAACAUAUUCUGCAGAUCACUGAAGUAUGAGAGCUGUCCAGGGAUAUCUGAACAGACAAACUUUUAUUCUAGUUACUUGUUUUAAACUCAACCCUGAAAACAUAUGCAAGGGACUAAGUAAAGCUUAUCCCUGUAAUUAAUUACAUCAGUACUUAGCAUGACUACAAUUAAAGAACUUGAUUAUUUA